UCUUCGUGAGGCCUUACUCAAUGGAGCUGUAUUAAUUAUUGUCUUCUCUCUGUAGAGACCUGCAGGACCCGAGCAGAGCUACGAUGCUCUCCCAGGUAACGUUAGCUGACAUCAGGCAGCAGGCAGUCCAACCAGGAGGAUGUGGUAGCAGCAGAGGGAGAGGAGCCUUCAGUCUCUCUGUGGAGGAAACACUAUGUGUGCUAAGGCUUCAAACAGCCAGGGUAUAGACCAAUCGAGUAUGUAUUGAUCAUAUUUUGCUCAGAUAUUCAAUGAACACUUACAAUAAGCUUUUUCUUAAGUUUUCAUUGGUGUACUUGUAGUUUCUAAAUCCAUUGUAUGUCAAUAUAUCCUACUACAGUACACUGUCCUGUAAUUUAAUGUGUUUACAUAGUCUUACUGUAAUUAUAUUUUAAAAUGCACAUAAUAUAUUAAAACACUUUUUUACAUU